rnacentral:rRNA from 1 species
AUUGAACGCUGGCGGCAGGCCUAACACAUGCAAGUCGAACGGUAACAGGAAGCAGCUUGCUGCUUCGCUGACGAGUGGCGGACGGGUGAGUAAUGUCUGGGAAGCUGCCUGAUGGAGGGGGAUAACUACUGGAAACGGUAGCUAAUACCGCAUAAUGUCGCAAGACCAAAGAGGGGGACCUUCGGGCCUCUUGCCAUCGGAUGUGCCCAGAUGGGAUUAGCUUGUUGGUGGGGUAACGGCUCACCAAGGCGACGAUCCCUAGCUGGUCUGAGAGGAUGACCCGCCCAACCUGAACUGGGACACGGUCCCAGACCCUUAGGGGGGGCAGCGUGGGGAAAUUUGGCACAUGGGGGGCAAGCUUAUGGCGGCCAGCCCGGGGGUAGAAAAAGGACUUCCGGUUGUAAAGGUACUUUCGCGGGGAGGAAGGGGGUUAAAGUUAAAACCUGGCUCAUUGACGUUACCCGCAGAAGAAGCACCGGCUAACUCCGUG